rnacentral:rRNA from 1 species
UGUUAAGUUACAGAUGUGAAAGACCCGGGGCCGUUAACCUUCCGGAAAUUGCAUUUGUAAACUAGGCAGGCUAGAGUCUUGUUAGAGGGGGGUAGGGAAGUUUCUAGGUGUAGCGGUGAAAUAGCGUAGAGAUCUGAAGGAAUACCAGUGGCGAAGGCGGCCCCCCUCGGACAAAGAACUGACGCUCAGAUGCGAAAGCGUGGGGAGCAAACAGGAUUAGAUACCCUGGUAG